rnacentral:tRNA from 1 species
CGGUCCGUAGCUCAAUGGCAGAGCAUCAGAGUCAUAAUCUGAAGCGUGCCGGUUCGACCCCGGCCGGACCUACCA